rnacentral:rRNA from 1 species
UUCAGCUCGUGUCGUGAGAUGUUGGUUAAGUCCCGCAACGAGCGCAACCCCUAUUGUUAGUUGCCAUCAUUCAGUUGGGCACUCUAGCGAGACUGCCGGUAAUAAACCGGAGGAAGGUGGGGAUGACGUCAAAUCAUCAUGCCCCUUAUGACCUGGGCUACACACGUGCUACAAUGGUUGGUACAACGAGUUGCGAGUCGGUGACGGCGAGCUAAUCUCUUAAAGCCAAUCUCAGUUCGGAUUGUAGGCUGCAACUCGCCUACAUGAAGUCGGAAUCGCUAGUAAUCGCGGAUCAGCACGCCGCGGUGAAUACGUUCCCGGGCCUU